CUGCGUCGCUCAGGCUGGGAGCUGUAGACCGGAGCUGUUCCUAUUCAGCCAUCUUGGCUCCUCCCCUCGAUACUUUUUCUAUGAGCUUGCACUCUCUUGCCUUUCUGCCUUGCACCAUGGGAGGACACAGCAAGAAGCUCUCACCGGAUGCUAGACCCUCAACCUUGGACUUCUCAGCCUCCAGAACCACGAGAAAUAAAUUUCUGUUUAUUGUAAAUUGCCCAGUCUCAAAUAUUAUGUGACAGCUGCACUAAACAGACUAAGAUGCUCCCUUAACAUAAACCACAGGGUUCCUAUGGAAAACAGGCAACAUGGAAUGUUUCAGGCAUUGUAAUCAUUGAAGGAAAGGAGAAACAAAAGGAGAGAUUGUGCUGAAGUGAACAGAGCACAGACUGUGACGGGAAUCUCACAAUCUUACCAACUUUGAGAUCAGGUUUGAUGACUGGCUUACAGAGAAGAAUAAGGAAAUGUACCUCUAAGAAUCGUUUGAAAUGAGUCUUCAUAUCCUCCCAAAUAUUUUUCAAGAACGUUUGGCAUUACUUCAAAAAUUAACUUUAGGAAAGGAACUAUUAUCACAUUUUAAGAGGGGAAUUGCAGUUGCACUUAAACUAGAAACUUCCACUUGGUGAAUUGAAUUAUUAAGGAAUAAUGGCAGAAGAAAGAGUAAGUCGUUUAUAGGCAAUAAUAAGCAAUAAAAAUAUAUGUAUAUGUGCAUGCAAAAAGUUAUGGCAAAACUAAUAAGAUUUUAAAAAAUCAUUGUGUUCCUGAAGAAACAAAGAAC
rnacentral:lncRNA from 1 species